CGCGCAGGCUGUAGAUCAAGUCAGCUGUGAAAUGUCUGGGCUUAACCCGGGCAUGCGGUUGAAACUGAUGUACUGGAGUGCUGUAGGGGCAAGUGGAAUUCCCAGUGUAGCGGUGAAAUGCGUAGAUAUUGGGAAGAACACCGGUGGCGAAGGCGACUUGCUGGGCAGCAACUGACGCUGAGGCGCGAAAGCCAGGGGAGCAAACGG
rnacentral:rRNA from 1 species